rnacentral:rRNA from 1 species
GGGUCAGUAGGUUGGUCGUGCCACCGGUACGUACUGGUCUCACUGAUUCCUCCUUCCUGAAGAACCGUAAUGCCAUUAAUUUGGUGUUGCGGGGAAACAGGACUGUUACUUUGAAAAAAUUAGAGUGUUUAAAGCAAGCUAACGCUUGAAUGCAUUAGCAUGGAAUAAUGAAAUAGGACGAUCGAUCCUAUUUUGUUGGUUUCUAGGAUUGACGUA